GUGUCAGCAGCCGCGGUAAUACGUAGGUGGCGAGCGUUGUCCGGAAUUACUGGGUGUAAAGGGCGUGUAGGCGGGUUAUUAAGUCAGAUGUGAAAUUCCAAGGCUCAACCUUGGCGCUGCAUCUGAAACUGAUAAUCUUGAGUGCUGGAGAGGAAAGCGGAAUUCCUAGUGUAGCGGUGAAAUGCGUAGAUAUUAGGAGGAACACCAGUGGCGAAGGCGGCUUUCUGGACAGUAACUGACGCUGAGGCGCGAAAGCGUGGGGAGCAAACAGGAUUAGAUACCCCCGUAGUCC
rnacentral:rRNA from 1 species